rnacentral:tRNA from 1 species
GCAGUCGUGGCCGAGUGGUUAAGGCGAUGGACAAAAUAAAUGAAGUUAGCUGAGUUUGAGACGUCGUCCUGUCUAUUUUCUGUCCCUUCUACAUUUUGAUGUUUCUUCUCUACCCCAGUCUCAGGUUAUUUGAACAUGGUUAAUAUUCACCAGCUCGCUACACCCUUACGAUUUUUUCUAGAAAUCCAUUGGGGUCUCCUCGCACAGGUUCGAAUCCUGUUGACUGCG